GACGAACGCUGGCGGCGUGCUUAACACAUGCAAGUCGAACGGAAAGGCCCUGCUUUUGUGGGGUGCUCGAGUGGCGAACGGGUGAGUAACACGUGAGUAACCUGCCCUUGACUUUGGGAUAACUUCAGGAAACUGGGGCUAAUACCGGAUAGGAGCUCCUGCUGCAUGGUGGGGGUUGGAAAGUUUCGGCGGUUGGGGAUGGACUCGCGGCUUAUCAGCUUGUUGGUGGGGUAGUGGCUUACCAAGGCUUUGACGGGUAGCCGGCCUGAGAGGGUGACCGGCCACAUUGGGACUGAGAUACGGCCCAGACUCCUACGGGAGGCAGCAGUGGAGAAUAUUGCACAAUGGGCGGAAGCCUGAUGCAGCAACGCCGUGUGCGGGAUGACGGCCUUCGGGUUGUAAACCGCUUUCGCCUGUGACGAAGCGUGAGUGACGGUAAUGGGUAAAGAAGCACCGGCUAACUACGUG
rnacentral:rRNA from 1 species